GCCCAGAAACUCCCUGCGGGCGGUGAAUCAACAGCCGAGAAGUCACUUUGCUUAGAACAGAAACCUCGUUCGCUAGAAGAAGCUGCAACCAAUUAGGCUGCAUUUUCGUUUUCACCACCCAGCUAGUCAGUAGCCAGCAGAAUUUACUGCUGAAGGAGCUGCUGGAGGCAGGAUGGCAGAGGAGGGCGUGUGAUGGGGGCCUGGCAGCCAGGGCGCGGCCAAGGGACCCGGUGUGACCUCCGUCGUCACAGGCCAGCGGCCCGCAGCCGGGUGCCUGGGCAGGUGCGCUGAGCUCCCAGUGCUGGCCCUGCCUUCCCCUGAGGAGGCAUGACAUUAGCCCUGCCGGCCUGCUGUCUGCCCACCCUGUGCAAUGUACAGGCCCCAGCCACCCCCAUUCCAACUGCCCAGGUCUGCCCCCGCGGGCUGCUCUGCCUUCUAUGGGCAGAGGGAAUGUGGCUUGUUUUUGAAAUAAAAUAGCAGGUUGCAUACA